AGGUCAACAUCUAACUGAUUAUUGCUAAACAUUCUGUAAGCAUAAACAUUCAAGAGUGAUACCUCCCUCUGUUGUCUAUUUUUGGGUUGAAAGUCUCAAUCACUUGGUCAGGUGUCACCCAAGCCUUAUCUUCCAUCACAGAUUUGUUUGCCCUGAAUUGGACCAAGACACAGUCUCCAGUUUUGAUGUUCCUUGCAGCUGCUGGGUGGAGCUCAGAGGACUGCUGUGCGGGACUUCCAGCAGAUGUGAUUUCUGAGGGCAGAAAUCUAUGGACACUUGACUGUUCUGCCUCUGAGUAGAUUUUGUGAAACACUGGUUUCCAGCAGCUUUCCACUCCACUCCUGCAUUCAGCCUAACAUGCAGUGAGGACUAUCUGGAUUGCAGGCCACAGCUUUUAUAAAAUCCUGUGUGCUCUGGAAUGCUUGCCUUGGGAUGACACGUUGCACACAGUCCAGGGCUAAUUUAAGAUUCUCAUGGUAACGGCACAGGCAAACAUUUCUCUGAGUAUCUGAACACCGGAGUAUUUGAGAUGGUCGAAGCUCAGCAAAUUUAGAUUUCCCAAUUAUAAACUCCGGAUGUUCACUCUUGAAGCCGCGGUAGGCCUCUAGAAUAGACAUUGUUAAAUGUCGUUUCUGGAUUUUCGUUUUUACUAAUCCCUCUCUGACUGUGAGCACAUCCCUCAUCCCUGGUGCUUGCCUUGAGAUGUCAUCUCUCUCAUAGAACUACUUGACUUGACCAUAUGUAGUAGUUGUGGUAUUAUUCUUUUCCUUUUUCUCCUGAAGAAGGCACAGUGAUGUUGCAAUUUUUUUAUAACUAAACGUCGCCCGGUAUGGCG